rnacentral:rRNA from 1 species
UACGUAGGGGGCAAGCGUUGUCCGGAUUUAUUGGGCGUAAAGAGCGUGUAGGCGGCUUGGUAAGUCCGCUGUGAAAGUCCAGGGCUCAACCCUGGAAUGCCGGUGGAAACUGUCAAGCUUGAGUCCGGAAGAGGCGAGUGGAAUUCCUGGUGUAGCGGUGAAAUGCGCAGAUAUCAGGAGGAACACCAAUGGCGAAGGCAGCUCGCUGGGACGGUACUGACGCUGAGACGCGAAAGCGUGGGGAGCGAAUGGG